GAUCAUGGCUCAGGAUGAACGCUAGCUACAGGCUUAACACAUGCAAGUCGAGGGGCAGCAUGAUCUAAGCUUGCUUAGAUUGAUGGCGACCGGCGCACGGGUGAGUAACGCGUAUCCAACCUUCCCUAUAGUAGAGGAUAGCCCGGCGAAAGUCGGAUUAAUACUCUAUGUUUUCCAAUGCAGACAUCUAAGUUGGAACAAAGGUUCACCGCUAUAGGAUGGGGAUGCGUCUGAUUAGAUAGUAGGCGGGGUAACGGCCCACCUAGUCGACGAUCAGUAGGGGUUCUGAGAGGAAGGUCCCCCACAUUGGAACUGAGACACGGUCCAAACUCCUACGGGAGGCAGCAGUGAGGAAUAUUGGUCAAUGGGCGAGAGCCUGAACCAGCCAAGUAGCCGUGCAGGAUGACGGCCCUAUGGGUUGUAAACUGCUUUUAUCGGGGGAUAAAGUGAGGGACGUGUCCCUUAUUGUAGGUACCCGAUGAAUAAGGACCGGCUAAUUCCGUGCCAGCAGCCGC
rnacentral:rRNA from 1 species